AUACCUAUGGACACGAGAGCGCGACGGCUACGACGACGAUGAUGAUGAUGACGACGACGACGACUCGUCGAUGUUAUAUCGAUGACGCAGAAGAUGUGUGUGUGCGCGCGUGUGUGUGCACGUCCGAGAGUCUAUUAACGCGGCAUUGUUCCGAGCAAAACCACGUGGAAAUAACGACUACAAUAAUAUACAACGUGUACGGUUCA